UACGGAGGGGGCUAGCGUUGUUCGGAAUUACUGGGCGUAAAGCGCACGUAGGCGGCUUUGUAAGUUAGAGGUGAAAGCCCGGGGCUCAACUCCGGAAUUGCCUUUAAGACUGCAUCGCUAGAAUUGUGGAGAGGUAAGUGGAAUUCCGAGUGUAGAGGUGAAAUUCGUAGAUAUUCGGAAGAACACCAGUGGCGAAGGCGGCUCACUGGCCCGGUACUGGACGCGUG
rnacentral:rRNA from 1 species